UUCCGCUUCCUGGCGUCGGGCUGGUGUUUUGGCCGUGGCUCCCGGGAGGCGCCGCGGUCGGAAUAACGGUUCCCGCGCGGCAGAGGGGAGCGGGGCCGAGCUCCGCGAGUGAGCGGAUGGAGGCGUCGGGACCGACCGGGUGGCCGAGAGGCGGCCGGGACCAGGGCAGCGGGCGGAGGGAGGGAGGCUCUCCCUGCGGCGGGAGUCGUCCCGCAGCCCAGGCUGUCCGGGAGCGGGGCUGCCACGGGCACCUCCUUUACGCUGCGGUUGUCCUAGCCUGGGUCUGCAGACGGGACACCACAUGGAUGGAAACUCCUGCCGCCUCGCCGUGCUGCUCCACGUCUUCUGCUGCCUGAAGUGCUGGGAAUACAAAGUUCAGUACCAUGAAGGUCAUGCCUAGCCAGGUCUACUGGGGGGACAGACAAGCAAUCCCUGAUCACAUCACAGAACAAGAAAGGAAUGGUGUUCUGCAGCUUCCUGGCCAACUGCCUCUCACCAUACUGUGAGCUCUACAUACACAGGAAAAGAGCACUACACUCUGGCACGUAAGGGUCCCUUGAGGGAGUCUCCCAGCUCCCCCCCGAUUCUAUCCAAAUAAUUGCAAUAUGAAAUUACAAUCAGAUUCUAUUCUAAAUGCACAUUUCAGAGUUGGAGAAGGAUCCGUCAAGUUUUAACAGGAUGUAGCAAGGAAAGGAGUCAAUGUGGUAGAAUAGAAAGAAUAGAAUUGUAUUUGAGAGACCUGGGACCAAGCCAUGCUAUUCCACCCACUGCUGUGUAAUCUUGGACAAUCAUGUCAACCUCUCUAGGUUUCAUUUUCCUUAUCUAUAAAGUGAAAGUUUUGGCCAGAUGCCUGCCAGUGCUAGCAAUCUGUACUUCUUUUUAACUGAAGUUUUAUACAACAUACCAUACCUCUUAUCAGUGUUCACCUAGUGAUAAUGCUUUUGGUCAGUUUCUUAGAUAGGUUCCCCAACCUGUCAUUUAAGGCAACUGAAUUUGACAACUUUAUUAAGUUUAUGCCAUUGUUAUCGUUGAAAAUUAUUGAAUGUUUUUAAGAUUCUGAAGACUUUCACCAUGUGCUAAUAAAUUGUUAUCUAGUGAGCUUGGUUAAAGCAGUUUGGCCUGACCCAUAUUGCUAGCGAAGAUAAUGUGUGUAUGGUGUUUUCACACACCUUGUGUCCUUUGAUCCCCUGUUUUUUUUUUGAGACAAAGUCUCACCAGGCUGGAGUGCAGUGGUGCAAUCACAGCUCACAGCAACCUCA